CCGCCUCCUCCUGCUGACAGCCGAGCUCUGGCCUGUAACACAAGCCCAGGGGACAGCGGCAGACACAGGGAACUUGAUCCCGGUCCCAGUCAAUGCAGGGAAGAGAGCUCCUGGACCUGCAGUUAAGACGCUCGGCUCUGUCCACUCCCUUGGGUGACCUGGACCUGUUUCCACUUCGGGUGUGUCUUGGCAGGUAGAAGUGGGAUUCCUCAAGAGAGACACCUGGGUCGAGUCCAGGGCCCCAUGCAGGUGUGGGACAUGCCAGGAGGCCCAGCCACCGAGAAACAGAGCG